rnacentral:rRNA from 1 species
AGAGUUUGAUCCUGGCUCAGAACGAACGCUGGCGGCAUGCCUAACACAUGCAAGUCGAACGAGACCUUCGGGUCUAGUGGCGCACGGGUGCGUAACGCUGGGAAUCUGCCCUGGUUCGGAUAACAGCGAGAAAUUGCUGCUAAUACCGGAUGAUGACGUAAGUCCAAAGAUUUAUCGCCCAAGGAUGAGCCCGCGUAGGAUUAGCUAGUUGGUGAGGUAAAAGGCUCACCAAGGCGACGAUCCUUAGCUGGUCUGAGAGGAUGAUCAGCCACACUGGGACUGAGACACGGCCCAGACUCCUACGGGAGGCAGCAGUGGGGAAUAUUGGACAAUGGGCGAAAGCCUGAUCCAGCAAUGCCGCGUGAGUGAUGAAGGCCUUAGGGUUGUAAAGCUCUUUUACCCGGGAUGAUAAUGACAGUACCGGGAGAAUAAGCCCCGGCUAACUCCGUG